CUUUAACUCUCGCCGAUCGGUUGCAUCCAGCCGCAGCCGAUGUCGAACACACCUACUGGUUCAUUGUUUGGUUGUGCACAGGUGUCUCUUGUUUGCUCAUUAGUUUUGUGUAUAAAUAGCGCUCAUGUUUCAUUGUUCCUUAGUCUAGAUUUUUCAUGUAACCCACUGUUUGGUGAGCAUAUUCGUGUUCAUACCAAGUCUUGUGUCAAGUCUGUGAAAUCUCUUUUGGAUUAUAUUUUAUGUCACUUUAUUUCAUUAAACUGCUCCGGGGUUCUGCAAACUCAUCUACAGUGGACUUUGUUACAGCGUGCUGUCUAGAGGAGGGCUCUGAACUCGGAAUUUGGCCCGAUCCCAGAGUAUUCCACCCUACUUGACUGGGAAAGGAACCAGCCAAAUGUGAGGCGAUGGGGUGGUGGAGAGCUGCUGUUAAACUGUUGCGGGACAGAGAGCUCUGAGAACAGCCACAAGAAAAAACAACUGGAUGGAGAAGAAGAGGGAGAAAUGUGCCAUGAUGAAAAUAUAAUACAUGUCAAUCUGGGAAGAGAUCAGAGUCGUAAUACUGAUCCCACUGAAGACAAAUCCUGCCACCCAGGCAAUAACACAGCAGAUCACUCUAUAUCUGAGAGGUUUGAACUUCAGAAAGGUUACAGGAUGAACCACUGCCAGGUAACGCUCAACACAGAUCAGACACUGAAACAGAGGACGACCAGUGAUGGCUAGUGAAUUAAAAAACAUAACAGCUAUCCAAACAUGUUUAGUUUUAUAGCUGAUAAAAUCAAAGAGACAUUCCAUAGAAAAGAGGAUCUCACAGACGGAGAGGUUGAGACUGAAGAACUCUGCUGCAAGUCCAUUGCCUGUUCCUGUUAGUAUAAGCCAAACCACAUAGAAGUUGGUAGGAAGACCUAACAGAAUGAUGAUGAUAUUUAUCAGUGGGAACAUUGAAAACCUAUCUUCGAUAUCAGUGCCAUUAUAAAAUAAGUAAUCAGAAAAGUUUGAUCCAUCAGUGGUGAAGAUCUCACUGGAGAUGUUCAUCUCAUCUCUUUGUGCAGUCAAAAACACAACUGUGAUCUAUGAAUGAGAGAUACAAGUGUUAGUCCACCAGAACAUUCUGGAACUGUUCAGAGUAAAUCUGAUCAAAACUACUUUAAAUAACACAUUAGAAAAAGAGAACAGUUCUGUUUUAAUUAACAGGUUAUUGUACAUCAGUCCUGUGCUUCAGUCUACAAAGAUGGAAUGAUCGAUUCUGAGGGGGGAAAAAAUGGUAUGAUUCAUGCAAGUUUGAAAGCAAAAUAAAUCAUUCAAAAAUAGUGCACAGAGAACUUUAGUCACUAAGCUGGACUGUCUGCCUUCCAAGUUGAUGUGUUAAUGUGAUGAAACUUGUACUUCUUUACCAGGCUUGAAGCUUUGAAAAAUGACAUGCAAAUACACACAAGUGACAUCAUAUUUGCUUCAAAAGACCAACUGUGUUAUAACGAGAGGUUAGAUUCGAGAAAAAAAAAGUUCUUGAAUCAGUUCAUGUAAGUACAAGUAAACAAAUAAUAAUUUCAACAUUGACAAAAAGACAAAGUUCAGAAAGUCAUUGAAGGAUCACCUGAUUUUAAUAACCAUCUAUUUACAGAUGAACUCAAUCGUAAUACUGAAAGCAUUUUCUCUGGGAUUUACUUUUUUUUUUUUUUUUUUUAAUCUGCACAGUUCUUCUUCUACCUCUCCAUCCAGUUGUUUUGUGUUGUGGCUUUUCUCAGACCUCUGAAGCAGUCAGGACAAGGAGAGAGAAGAAGAGCUUGCUGCUCUAUAUAGUAAAUACUUUAGGUCAGAGAAUAUAAAUUUGCAGAACAAUGGGUCCCCAGGAGCAGGGUUGAAGACCUUUUCUUUAGAUAUACAAAGCUUUCAUAUUACUUAUGAAUGGGAGAAAGUGCAAUGUGCAAUAGAGUGCAACAGUCGGGUCCCGGAAGUAAAAACUCAACUUAUUUUCUCCAUAGGGAAAUUGAUUUUUUUAAAGACAAAUCUACUGUGGGCUCCAAGGGUGUUAAACCUAGUAUUUGAUUCUGUUGAAUCAUUAUUUCAGCUUAUUUAUAUAUAGAGCUUAAAAUGUCAUCUUAUUGUAUUGUCAGGUGCCAGAUAAAACAGAUGACACCUGUGCUUAAACCCAAUAAAAAGAGCAUACUGGACAGAAACGAUCAUCAAAAGUGCUUGCGUUUGCAGCGCACACUUCAUAUAAGAGCUCUGAGAACAGCCACAUAACAGAACAACUGAAUGGAGAGGAAGAGGAUGAACUGUACAAGAAAAAAAGUAAAGUACAACUCUGAGAGAAGGAACCAUAAAGUCACAAUACUGACCCCACCAGAGCCAAAACCUGCCACCCAGACAAUAAAAGAGCAGAUCACUCUAUAUCUGAGAGGUUUGUACUUCAGAAAGGUUACAGGAUGAACCACUGCCAGGUAACGCUCAACACAGAUCAGACACUGAAACAGAGGACGUCCAGUCAUGGCAAGUGCUUCUAGGAAACACGUAAGAAUCCAGAGAUCUCCAACUUUAUAGCCAAUAAGAACCAAGGGAGGUUGCAUAGAUAUAAGGAUCUCACAGACAGCGAGGUUGAGACUGAAGAACUCUGCUGCAAGUCCAUUGCCUGUUCCUGUUAUUAUAAGCCAAAUCACAUAGGAGUUGGUAGGAAAGCCCAACAGAACGGUGAUUAUACCUACAAGUGAGGAUGUUUCAAAAACAAUCUUCUCCUCAGUGGUGUUGAAAAAGAAGUGAUCAGAAGAGUUUGAUCCAUCAGUGGGGAAGAUCUCACUGGAGAUGUUCAUCUCUUCACUGUUUGCAGUCAAAAACACAACUGAGAUCUAUGAAUGAGAGACACAAGUGAACAUUCUGGAACUGUACAGAGUAAACUUGAUCAAAACUACUUUAAAUAGCACACAUUAGAAAAAGAGAACAGUUCUGUUAUUACUUGGUUAUUUUACCUAAAUAUUAGUGAACAAAAUUAUAUCUAUAGUCACGUAUAGCUAGACUUAGUCACUUAUAGCUGGACUGUCUGCCUUCCAAGUUGAUCUGUUAAUGAGAUGAAACUUACUUAUUUCUAUCAGGCCCUGAAGCAUUGCAAAAUUCCAUGCAAAUACGUUAUGUGAUUAUAUCAUAUUUCAGUUCAUAUUUGCUUCAAAAGACCAGCUGUGUCAUGUAAGGGUGUCACAACAAGAUAAAAAAUGAUCUUGAAUCAGUUUAUCUCUAUACAUAAUUGCAAGUAAAUAAGCAAAAAAAAAAAAAAAAAAAAA